rnacentral:rRNA from 1 species
AUAUUGGACAAUGGGCGAAAGCCUGAUCUAGCCAUGCCGCGUGUGUGAGCAAGGUAUUCGGAUGGUAAAGCUCUAGACGUUGGGAGGAAGGGGUGUAAGUUAAUUCCUUGUUGUUUUGUCGUUACCGACAGAGAUAGCACCGGUCAAGUUCGUGCCAGUAGCCGCGGUAAUACGAAGGGUGCAAGCGUUAAUCGGAAUUAAUCGGCGUAAAGCGCGCGUAGGUGGUUUGUUAAGUUGAAAGUGAAAGCCCCGGGCUCAACCUGGGAACUGCUUUCAAAACUGGCAAGCUAGAGUAUGACAGAUGGUGGUGGAAUUUCCUGUGUAGCGGUGAAAUGCGUAGAUAUAGGAAGGAACACCAGUGGCGAAGGCGACCACCUGGGCUAAUACUGACACUGAGGUGCGAAAGCGUGGGGAGCAAAC